rnacentral:rRNA from 1 species
CCUACGGGAGGCUGCAGUCGAGAAUCAUUCACAAUGGGGGAAACCCUGAUGGUGCGACGCCGCGUGGGGGAAUGAAGGUCUUCGGAUUGUAAACCCCUGUCAUGUGGGAGCAAAUUAAAAAGAUAGUACCACAAGAGGAAGAGACGGCUAACUCUGUGCCAGCAGCCGCGGUAAUACAGAGUUCUCAAGCGUUGUUCGGAAUCACUGGGCGUAAGGCGGGCGUAGGCUGUUGCGUAAGUCGUGUGUGAAAGGCGCGGGCUCAACCCGCGGACGGCACAUGAUACUGCGAGACUAGAGUAAUGGAGGGGGAACCGGAAUUCUCGGUGUAGCAGUGAAAUGCGUAGAUAGCGAGAGGAACACUCGUGGCGAAGGCGGGUUCCUGGACAUUAACUGACGCUGAGGCACGAAGGCCAGGGGAGCGAAAGGGAUUAGAUACCCGAGUAGUC